CUUUUUCAUGUAAGACAGCAGAGCUUAGUAUCAAGAGAAGUUAAGAUGAAUGAUUGGGAAGAUUUGUAGCUACUGAGGAUGAGAUUCCCAGUGGAGUAUCAAUGGUGGCCAUAGGAGCAGAUUGUGAUUUCAUUUGGAGCAGUUUCAAGCUAUUGUCAUCUUAACCCCGGGAGUAAAUGGCUGCCAUAAUAGGCUUUUUACAUAACUAAGAAUGAGUGACUGAAAAGCAAAGAAGCUAUCCAGGAAAAAAUGAAUGAGCUCAAGGUAGCCCAGGAGCCAUGACUUCCAUAGCAACAACUUCCCAGCAUGCACCCCAGUGAUGACACAGGAGACACCCAGGCCUGUUAGUGAAGGGAACCUGCUGGUUCAGGAAGCUGUCCUAACCAGAGAUGAGGGUGAGC